GACAUUCCUGUUAGCAAUCUAUUGGGUCAUACCCAUAGGUGCUUCAACCAAAGUCCACACUUGGUUGAUGUACCGGGAGUCCAUUUCAGAUUUUAUGGCUUCAAGCCGUCUGUCAGAGUCUCUACUCAUGACUGUUUUUGAAUAGGUCAAGAAACAUCAUUCUCAAUAAUGUAUGGUGUAUUGUCAUUCUCAACGAUAAAUCUAUAUUUUGAGUGGUACAUUACAUACCCUUAUUGACCUUUGGAGCGGAGGUGUGUGUCAUAGUUGUGCCUCAUCAAUGGGCACAUCUGGUCGAGGAUGUGGAUACUCUACAGAUAAUGAUGUGAUAGUUUAUAAGUCUUGAACUUUUCAAAUUAAUUAUCCUCCCACUGCCCCCUUCUUAGAUAAUUUUUUUUUCAAAAAAUGGAAUACCUACUGACAAAACAUCUUUUGUCUAGUAGGAUGGUAGAAGUAGUAUCACAUACUACUCUUUAGAAUAAUCUAUAAACUAAUACUAAUCUGAUCUAGCAAAAAGCUUAUGUACAUCAACUCUUUUCAUAUAAGUUGGGCAACCUACCUCUUUCCUUUUUCAUAUCUCAUAUGGAGUGCUAGUAAUAGAUUUUGAUGGUAUCUAAUUC
rnacentral:lncRNA from 1 species